rnacentral:tRNA from 1 species
GGGGUUGUAGCUCAGUGGCAGAGCACUUGCCUAGCACGUGUGAGGCCCUGGGUUCUAUUCUCAGCACCA